AGCAGCCGCGGUAAUUCCAGCUCCAAUAGCGUAUAUUAAAGUUGUUGCAGUUAAAAAGCUCGUAGUUGAAUUUCGGGGUCAGCAAGUUGGUCGUGCCACCGGUAUGUACUGGCUUUGCUGAUUCCUCCUUCUUGUAGAACCGUAAUGCCAUUAAGUUGGUGUUGCGGGAAAACAGGACUGUUACUUUGAAAAAAUUAGAGUGUUUAAAGCAGGCUAACGCUUGAAUACAUUAGUAUGGAAUAAUGAAAUAGGACGACGAUCCUAUUUUGUUGGUUUCUAGGAUUGACGUAAUGAUUAAUAGGGAUAGUUGGGGGCAUUAGUAUUCAAUUGUCAGAGGUGAAAUUCUUGGAUUUAUUGAAGACUGACUACUGCGAAAGCAUUUGCCAAGGAUGUUUUCAUUAAUCAAGAACGAAAGUUAGGGGAUCGAAGACGAUCAGAUACCGUCGUAGUCUUAACCAUAAACUAUGCCGACUAGGGAUCGGAUGAUGUUAAUUUUAUAAUGACUCAUUCGGCGCCUUACGGGAAACC
rnacentral:rRNA from 1 species